UGCCAGCUGCGUCCAGGCCAUUAUGUUCUUCGCUCUGCCAAGGAAUGUCUUUAUUGGUUGCCAGGUUUGUCAAUAAGACUUGCGAGGGGAAAAGCGUUGGUUUCCAGGAAAAGUACUUCUGUUUUCUAACCUCCCCCUUGCUGUCCAAUUACUGAUGCGUUCAACCUCCAAGGAGUGGCUUUGUAAAACUGGUAAACCCAGAGGCAGAUGCCUUCACAGAGUGGCCACAGAGAUGUGUAAAUUUGCACUCAAACACACACACACAAGCACAGCUACAUGCACUCACUCAAGGCAUUUCAAGGGUUUCACAUGGUUAUUAAGUGCAAUCACACCAAAGAACUAGUCUCCUCUAAGGCUCCUAGGAGCUAUAGUAGUGUAAGUAAUGAAACUCAGAUAUCUGAAUAUGCACUUCUGUGAAGCCACAGAUGCUCUCUUUGCAGUUAUUUGUGCACUGCUGGAAGUAAACCAUGCAUGUUUACAUACAGAAAACAAUGUCUUGCUUUGCAAAAAGCAAAAUACAAUAAGAAGAGGUGAAAGAAUAGUUUAAAAAGUAGAGCUCUCAAGAUGUAACUAUUAUUUUCCACAGACCGCGGGGAAUGUACAAAAGAGAUGGUGUUUUAAAUGCACCUUGUGUAACAAACACUUGAAACUCACAGCUGCGGGAGUUCCAUGGGCUGUGACCCCAGGCAAACCCCAUUUUCUAGUCUCUGCCCUCAGAAUGAGGCAGCAUCCCAUUUAAAGGUAAAAUAAGUCAUCACUCUGUUCCUGAUUGUGUUACAACUGCAAUUUCUGAUUCUUUCUCUCCCUCUCUGCCUCUGUAGGGCCACAUGCAGUGCAUUUCUGCCAACCUGUAAACAGACUGGUUUAUGAUUUGAACAGAAAAGUUGUACUUAAGAAGAAAAGAUCUUCGGCAGUGGCAUUAGCCCUCUUCAUUAGAUCUCUGUGUGUUGGAUGCAUGGCUCUGGCAUGUCACCACCUCACCUGAUCAGCUCACACCCCAAGUCCUGCCCCAGUGAGACCGGCUGGCCAACUGUGAUGGCAACACGGCUAAAGUUUGCAUAUGAGGAUGGCAUCAGCCAAGCCAGGCAAGAGCCCUUUGGAGAGGUGCUGUGUGACAGGGAGGCUGUCGGAGGCAGAAGUGUUUGCAUGGGAUGGAGCCUGCAACUACCGUAACCGUCCCUGUGGCAAGAACACCCACAGAAACAGAUAACAGCUGAAAAUUAAACAAACCAGAGCUCUGUCAGGACCCUGCUAGACAAUUCAUCCAAACACAUCAUCUUACAACUCUGAUAAAAGGAUCUGUUGGAUUUUCUUUUGGAUGAGAUAGUUCAUUUAUAUUUGCUGCAUGUUAAUGUGAGUGGAAAGAACUGAGAUCUAAACAAGGUACAUAAAUCAUUCCAAUGAAACUAUUUUCAAGAAAGAGCAUUAUGAGAAAGAGAGAGCCAUGGACAAUCUGCAUUGAUUGAGGACUAAGUUUUGACUUGGGUGGUGCUAAAGUAGUGUGUGUUUGCAAGUUAUUGAGUAACAGGCAGUAGGAACUGCUGGACUGUGAAGACCCUUGUAUUGCUCUGUUUGUUGGUAAAGAGAUGGAAAGAAUUGCUCUGAGACAUCUCUUCCUGGGCUCCCUGGUGCAUCCAGAAAAAAAAGAAGGGAGUGAGAAGAACAAUACCCAUUUGCCCAUUCACAACAUUUGAAUACAGGCUUUUACUUGGGUUUCUUUUUGACUCUCCCAAACAUCAUCAGUUGACAUAUUUUCCACUGCCAUUUAAGAAAAUCCUGCUUUGUUAUAGUAAGAUUUAUAAAAAGAAUAAACAAGACAGCAAAAAUAUAUUAAACAAAUAAAUCUGGCGGAUUAAAAAAAGUGAGGCAGUGCCCAUACUCUGUCUUCACCUCGCGGUUCAAAGCCAGAGCUGAGUGCCUCAACAGGCUGCUCGAAUGGAAGUCACGAAGAGCACAGAUUGCUUGGCGGCGCAUCCGCCACACAAUGGCUCGUCUCUCAAGUCUGACCCUCAAAUACUCCUUUCUCCAUGUAGGUCUCCCUGCAUUUUGCCUGCUGGCAGGAAAGCUGCCUUUCGUUAGUGCCUCCAUUCCCAUCUAAAUGUGUCCCUCGCUUUGGGCCUGAUCCAAGGCGAACGGGAAGACUUUCACUGGCUCCAGGCAACUCUUGGAGCAGCCUCUUUGAAAGGAAAGACUGGCAAAAGGGCUGUGCAGAGAGCUAUGAAAUGCUUGUGCAUGUACUAUUGGAGCUUAAUGGUGCUCUGUGCUCUGAAAUGUUCAUGUAUGAGUGUAGGGCAGAAAAGGAAAAAUAAAAAAAAAAUAGAAUUGCUAAGCCAGGAGAAAGAGGGCAGGGGAACCUGAUCCUGCAUGAACUGGAGUGCAGCUGCAUAGCCUUGAGCGUUAUUGUGCAUAGUAGCAAAAAUGAGGCCCAAAAGGGGAACGCUUAACUAAGUACCUCAGCAGCACUACAAGCACUACACUAAUGUCUCCUCAGACAUGCCUGCUGUGAGGCUGGGUGGGAGUAUUAAGGGAUCCAGAGAUUUAAUGCUUUAUGGUGAAAAGGACCAAAGUGAGCUUUUAACCUGCACCUGCACAUGAGCUCCUGCUGGGACUGGCAUGAAUACAUUACAAACAUGUGUGAUGCUGCCUGGCCAUGAGUUUUCAAGGGCCAGUGGAUAUUUUCUGGGCUAGCAAACACCAUGUUUUUUGAGUUCUGGAGGCGAUAAACAAUACGAAUUUCUUUAUAUGAAAAAGGCAUUCCAAAAGAUGAUAGAGAACAGCACACUGAAGACUAACAGUAACAUGCUAGAAAAAUAAUGCUUUUCUACCAUCAGUAGUGAUGGAAAGCAGCAAGACCUGAAAGUGAUCAACAGUAAAUAUUAUGGAAUCAAUAUUAGUCAACUGAGAAUUUACAUGGAGCCAGUGUAUUUCAAUAACAUGAUAAGCAGGGACAUUUUUCCUCAAGUUUAGCUCAGGAAUUUGAAUUGCUCUUCAGGGAUGGUAUCUAACAUUUUGCUCCUUUUCAAAGCAGGAGGGGCAGCUACACACAGAUGCAGAAAGGGGAGGGAGAAACACAUCCAUAAGUACGAUCUCUGCAUCAGAUUUAUGGUCUAUCUGGGUGUACUAGGGCUGAGCUGGGUUUAUCUCUAUUUGUUGCUGUCUCCCAGUGAAGAGGAGCUCUCUGUAGAUGACAACCUGGGCCUUCCUAGUAAUGGACCCAGGACAGAAAUUCUGAACAGCAUGGCAGGUCUGAGAGGAGCAAGAAAUUUGCUCAUGGAUUGAACCUAGACUGUAGUUUUCCCAUUCUGGGCUCAAGAAAGCCAGCUGGGGUGCUUGAAGGCAGCUGUCAUGGACGGCAGGAAGAGUGAACUUCCUUUCCCCGGACUGGGGGCUCACAUGGUCCUUAGCCCAAGGGUAUAAUGAAAGCUGGAGGAACUGCACUGAAAAACGUGAUGAUGUGGAAGGUUUUGCUGACUAAGAAACAUUCGACUGUGAAUGAAUUCCGUGGGGAACCCAGAGUUAGGCUCCACAGAAAAUGAGAGGAAAGUCAAGCAAAUAUGGAAAAGAGAGGUAAAGAAAUAGCCAAAGAUAGUAUCUAAAAGAGAGAAGAAAAAUACAAGUAUUUAGUCAAGGGAAGAAAAAUGAAUGAAGACUUGGAAAGGAAAGAACCCUGAAUUAAUGGUUACUCUUGGGUGCUGUCAUUUUAUUUCAUUUUCAGUCAUUUUCAGUCAAUUUAUGUAAUGCUGCACUGCCUGUCUAGUAAAAAUGUACGUCUUUUUGGUUUGG